rnacentral:rRNA from 1 species
AAAUUGAAGAGUUUGAUCAUGGCUCAGAUUGAACGCUGGCGGCAGGCCUAACACAUGCAAGUCGAACGGUAACAGGAAGAAGCUUGCUUCUUUGCUGACGAGUGGCGGACGGGUGAGUAAUGUCUGGGAAACUGCCUGAUGGAGGGGGAUAACUACUGGAAACGGUAGCUAAUACCGCAUAACGUCGCAAGACCAAAGAGGGGGACCUUCGGGCCUCUUGCCAUCGGAUGUGCCCAGAUGGGAUUAGCUUGUUGGUGGGGUAACGGCUCACCAAGGCGACGAUCCCUAGCUGGUCUGAGAGGAUGACCAGCCACACUGGAACUGAGACACGGUCCAGACUCCUACGGGAGGCAGCAGUGGGGAAUAUUGCACAAUGGGCGCAAGCCUGAUGCAGCCAUGCCGCGUGUAUGAAGAAGGCCUUCGGGUUGUAAAGUACUUUCAGCGGGGAGGAAGGGAGUAAAGUUAAUACCUUUGCUCAUUGACGUUACCCGCAGAAGAAGCACCGGCUAACUCCGUGCCAGCAGCCGCGGUAAUACGGAGGGUGCAAGCGUUAAUCGGAAUUACUGGGCGUAAAGCGCACGCAGGCGGUUUGUUAAGUCAGAUGUGAAAUCCCCGGGCUCAACCUGGGAACUGCAUCUGAUACUGGCAAGCUUGAGUCUCGUAGAGGGGGGUAGAAUUCCAGGUGUAGCGGUGAAAUGCGUAGAGAUCUGGAGGAAUACCGGUGGCGAAG